rnacentral:rRNA from 1 species
UGAUGGCGAGUGGCGAACGGGUGAGUAAUGCAUCGGAACGUGCCCAGUCGUGGGGGAUAACGCAGCGAAAGCUGUGCUAAUACCGCAUACGAUCUAUGGAUGAAAGCGGGGGACCUCCGGGCCUCGCGCGAUUGGAGCGGCCGAUGUUAGAUUAGGUAGUUGGUGGGGUAAAGGCUCACCAAGCCGACGAUCUAUAGCUGGUCUGAGAGGACGACCAGCCACACUGGAACUGAGACACGGUCCAGACUCC